rnacentral:rRNA from 1 species
CUCCUACGGGGGGCAGCAGUGGGGGAUAUUGCACAAUGGGGGAAACCCUGAUGCAGCGACGCCGCGUGAGCGAUGAAGUAUUUCGGUAUGUAAAGCUCUAUCAGCAGGGAAGAAAAUGACGGUACCUGACUAAGAAGCCCCGGCUAACUACGUGCCAGCAGCCGCGGUAAUACGUAUGGUGCAAGCGUUAUCCGGAUUUACUGGGUGUAAAGGGAGCGCAGGCGGCACGCUAAGCCUGAUGUGAAAACCCGCGGCCCAACCGCGGGAGUGCAUUGGGAACUGGCGAGCUAGAGUACCGGAGAGGC